rnacentral:rRNA from 1 species
GAUGAACGCUGGCGGCGUGCCUAAUACAUGCAAGUCGAGCGAACAGAUAGGAAGUUGUUCCUUUUACGGUUGGCGCGGGCCGGGGGGGUAAAAGUUGGGUACCUACCUAUUAGAACGGGGUAAAUUCCGGAAACCAGAGCACAUUACGGACAAAUAUUCCAAACGGCUGGUUUCAUAGGGAAAGAGGGUUUUGCUUACACUUAUAAGUGGACCCGGGCCGUAUUAGCUAGUUGGGAAGGUAACGGCUUACCAAGGCGACGAUACGUAGCCGACCUGAGAGGGUGAUCGGCCACACUGGAACUGAGACACGGUCCAGACUCCUACGGGAGGCAGCAGUAGGGAAUCUUCCGCAAUGGGCGAAAGCCUGACGGAGCAACGCCGCGUGAGUGAUGAAGGUCUUCGGAUCGUAAAACUCUGUUAUUAGGGAAGAACAUACGUGUAAGUAACUGUGCACGUCUUGACGGUACCUAAUCAGAAAGCCACGGCUAACUACGUG